UUUAUGCAACGGAUUAUGUCGUCGGUUUUCGACAAAAGACAACAGUAAUUCAAUUCUCCCAUCAGCCAAUGACUCACUGGACCAAUGAUCUUCAUCCUUGUCUUCGAGUUUUCAGCUUCAUACACAAUGUACAAUAUGCAAGUAAGUUUUGGCCAUGCUCCUAUCGGUUGCAUUAGCCAACGAUUCACUUGGAUGCUGUAUUCGUAAUCAUGAGCGUAAAAAGCGUUGGAUAUCGGUGGUUCGCUAGACACGUCCACCAUGAUUACUUUGCGGAGGUCGUUUGUCGAGUGAAUUACUCAAGUUUCAGGUGACAGUAGUGCACUAGUGUGUUGUCUGUUUCGCAGUAGGUUGAAGGGACCAAUUUAUGCAGCAUAAAUUCCCAUUCGGGGAAAUUUCUCAUAUUAUUUCUUCGUAUCGCGUCAGAUCGGAACGAAUUUAAGAAAACUGUAGACUGAUAGUUAUUUCGCAACAUCGACAAAGUCUCUUCUUUCCUAUUUAAACUAAAGCGAUAUUGAAGUUCACAAGUUCCGGUAUUUCAGCAAGAUUAAAAUUAAUAUAAAAUAUUAAUCGCAUUUGGAUAAUUAACAACAUAAGGGUAUAAUGUAUAAACAACAGUUCAAAUAAAUUUUUGUGCAAUAUACAGGAACAUUACGUAGGAUGUAUUUAAACUAUAUUAUACUUUAAGGAGCGCUCAUGUUAAUGUUCGUAUAUUCGUUUUGAAAAAUUGACAAUGGACCGAUCAAUUUUUAAAUUCAAGGAUUCCAUCGAAUGCUUAAAUUUAUGUCCUCCUUGUAAUCAUGAUCUGGAAGUAAGAUGUUAUCUGUACGGGUGUAGAUUCGGGAAUUUAGAAUAUUUAACAAGGGACUAUAGGAAAUCCGCAGGAGGUAUCAGGUUAGAAGAUGUAGUGAGCGGAAGACGAGAGAGAAGAGUUCUAUGAUAGCUCGAGAAAUUGGAAAAGAAAUAAGAAGAAAAGAAUAAAAAAAUAGGGAACAAGCAGCACAAAGAGAGUUUUAAUGAACGCAAGGGUGCAAUAACUAGGGUGGAAGAAGACGAGGACCAUGCACCGAUUGGUUUUAAAAACCAUCGAUUCAGUUGAAGACUGUAGUCACCGUUGCUGUUGGUAUCAGUAUCUAUGAUCAUUGUUCUGGUUGUCAUCGCGGAGUGAGACUGUCGUUAGAAAGCAUUCGUGCAACUAUGGGCGAUGCAUGGGGUAGUGCAACGCUUGUGUGAGGUCCUUAGGUAUUCAUUCUACCGAUCUAUUCAUCAAUUGCUAGAACUUGUUUUAGAAUAGUAUGAAAGUAUAUACGCUUAGAAACUGUUAAUUGCAAUUGUUGGAAGUAAAUGGUGUGCGUGCAGUGAAUCACUUCUGUUUCUAACUUUAAUAGUGUAUACCUUCAAAUUUUUAGUAGAAGGUAGAACGCGGUACAUAAUUGUGUCAGGUGCUAUGGAGAUGUAGUAGAUUUAAUUUGUGCUUAUGAUAAAUUGGAUGAUAAAUGGUAUAAUAAUUUGCAUUGUUUCUGUCGGUAUUCACAAAUGCCAGUCAUAGGAUUUGAUUUUUAUAUUAUCGAAUAGUAUUACGAACAAACAUUACGAAUAAUUAUAAUGUUUCCAAUGAAGGAUUUGAAGAGAUAACAUGUAAUAAAAACAUGAGAACAAUGGAGUAUAGCUAUAACAAACGAUUCUUCAACCUAUCCCCCCAUAGAUUUUUUACACCGCAAGUAUUCUUACACUUAACUAGAUCUAUUAGGUUGUCAAUCAUGUAUUAUAGUCUGUAACAUUAAUCAUAAAAUUAGUUCAAUCGUCGACUUAUUUAUUUGUUGACAUUUUCUUAUAAUAUCCUUUCAGAAUUCCACUUUAUCACAUCAUUUGCUGCAACAAAUUCAAAUAUGCGAAACCUGUCUUUAUGACCUGAAAUGGCAGAAUAUUUCACGUGAACAGACAACAUCGCUAUGAGUACAAGUAUAGAAUAAACUUACACUACCAAAAGUGUAAACGGACAUAUGAACUAAUUUUCCUGCAGUGAUAUGAACGACCAUAUUUGAUCGUGCGAUGACCAUAAUCAAGUCGAGGAUUGUUUUACCGGUUCUAGGGUUAGAGUAUUAAUGUCUCGCUGAUACCUGUUCCGUUAAUAAUUCACCGAUGUAACAUAUUAUGAAAAUGUUAAAACAGAUUGUAACGAACAUCAUAAAAUACGAUGCCAAAUUUCGAAUAUCAUGCUCUGCCCAUUCCUAAGACGAAAUCGUAAAAAGAAUAGGACAAUUAUACAGAAAAUUAAAGUUAUAUCUACUGUGGAAUAUAACAGGAGUCCAUUUUAUUACGUCAUUUGCUGCNAACAGAUUCAAGUAUGCAAAACCUGUCUUCACAACCUGAAAUGGCAGAAUAUUUCACGUAAACAGACAAUACAGUUAUGAGUAAGAGUAUCGAAUAAACUUACACUACCAAAUGUAUAAACGGACAUAUGAACUAAUUUUCCGGCAGUGAUUUGAACGACCACAUUUGAUCGUGCGAUGACCAUAAUCAAGUCGAGGAUCGUUUUACCGGUCUUGUGGUGGAUGGAGACGAUGGCCAUGCACCGAUCGGUUUCAAGAACCAUCGAUUCAAUUGAAGACUGUAAUCACUGUUGCUGUUGCUAUCAGCUUCGAUGAUCACUGCUUCGUUCGACAUCGCGGAGUGAAGUCGUUAUUAGAAAGCAGCGUCAGUGGGGGAUGCAUGGAGCAGCGCAACGCCUGCGCGUGUUUUUUAGAUCCGUGUUGGCAUCGCAGGGUGUUGGUCAUUGUUCUCCAUCCAGAAGUUUUUCAACGCGCCGUUGGAAAUCAUUCUUCUUGAUUUGAAUAAAUCACGCGACAAGCAUCCACUCGGUUGGAACAUCUGUGAUAAGGAGUUCAUUUUAUUACGUCAUUUGCUGCNAACAGAUUCAAGUAUGCAAAACCUGUCUUCACAACCUGAAAUGGCAGAAUAUUUCACGUAAACAGACAAUACAGUUAUGAGUAAGAGUAUCGAAUAAACUUACACUACCAAAUGUAUAAACGGACAUAUGAACUAAUUUUCCGGCAGUGAUUUGAACGACCACAUUUGAUCGUGCGAUGACCAUAAUCAAGUCGAGGAUUGUUUUACCGGUCUUGUGGUGGAUGGAGACGAUGGCCAUGCACCGAUCGGUUUCAAGAACCACCGAUUUAAUUGAAGACAGUAGUCACUGUUGCUGUCAGCUUCUAUGAUCACUACUUCGUUCGACAUCGUGGAGUGAAGUUGUUAUUAGAAUGCAGCCGCGCGUCAAUGGGGGAUGUAUGCAGCAGUGCAACGCUUGCGCGUGUUUUUUAGGUGAGCUCAACAAUAAUUCCUUUCUCUUCUUUCUAUUCCUCCUUGACCUUCGUAUCCACCAAACUAUCGAACCUGGUCAUCGCCACGUUCAAUGGACCACUUGCAUGGAUCAUUAGGGUAGCGUCCAAGCAACAAGCUUCCACGCCACGAUGAUGCCAGAAAAAGUCUGUACAAUGAGCACGAUGUCAUUCGUCGGGCUGAAUCUAGCGACCAACAGAUUUGUCUAAAUCGGACAAGGUUCAAAUAUGCGAAACCAGUUUUUACCACCUGUAAUAACAGAAUAUUUUACGUGGACGAACAUACAUACACAGGAGAGUAAAAAGAAGAGAUAAAUUGACAUACAUCACCGAAUGUAUAUACAGACAUGUGAACCAAUUUUCCAGCAGUGAUAUGAACGACCACACUCGAUCGUGCGAUGAUCAAAAUCAAGUCGAGGAUUAUUUUAUCGGUCUUGUGGUGGAUGGAGACGAUGGCCAUGCACCAAUCGGUUUUAAGAACCAUCGAUUCAAUUGAAGACUGUAGUCACUGUUGCUGUUGCUGUUGCU